CAGGCCGUCCUGGCCGAGACCCCUGGCGCGAGCGUGGACGUGAUGGAGCAUCCGUCUGCAAAUUCUUAUUCCUCGCUGUGAUGGAGCGGGAUGUUGAGAGGGAUCUGUCCACAGAGCCAUCCCUUUCCCUCCUUCGUCACCUCCGUCCGCAACUUCGCAGCCGACUUCGCUGUUAGGGGCCUACCGCUCAACAUCCUCAUGUACAUACUACUACUCCCAAUCAUGCACAUCUAAUAGUUCAGGUUCUGUCAGCGAUUGCCAAGACCAUUUAGGUUCAGGUUCAGCGAGAUGGCUCUCUGAACCAUGAGUAGGUAGCACAACGCAUGCCUUGCCGUCUGAUAGUAGUUGUGCUACGGUUGUACUACUGUACCAUGUGUUCCUACUACUAGCUCUAGUCGUGGAUGCUGGGUAGCUCCCUGUUUUCUCUAUUUUUAUGUAAUCCUAGAUAGAACCAUGCAACUGUGGAUGAAAAACACUGCAAUUCAAUCUAAAAUUGUCAUCAUGAUCCUAGCAAAUACUCCUCAAAUUACUGUAAAUUGUUGCAUGAUUAGGGGCUAGUGUAGAUGCAAAAUAAGGUUGCACUUUUAUAGGAGAUAAGCCACUGAUGUUGGAUGCUUGGUAGUUGUCUUGUGUUGUGUGCAUGUUUGUACUAGCAGUAUGCCCGUGAGCAACAAGCAUACGAUUUGUGCCUAUGCUCUACUGUAUUGGCCUCAUUGGUCAUCGCUGAUUGACCAGGACUAUAGCUUAUUCCUUCAGCGUACUAUCGCUUUCUCAAGUCAACUCAAGCAACAAUUCAUGUGGCUCGCUCAAUCGGGUGGGCGGCGUAUUUAUUCAGUAUAUUCUCUGAAAUUGCAAGUUCUGAAAUGUAUCAUUUUUUGUGCAGUGAGAGAGCUGAACGGGGCGAGGCUGGAGGCAUCGGUGAGGGCGUACGAUGGCGCCGGCCAGAGCAAGGUGUCCAACAAAUGGUUAGGAUGUUACCUC
rnacentral:lncRNA from 1 species